GACAGAGGGUGCAAACGUUGUUCGGAAUUAUUGGGCGUAAAGGGCGCGUAGGCGGUGCGGUAAGUCACCUGUGAAAUCUCCUGGCUCAACUGGGAGCUUGCAGGCGAAACUGCCGUGCUGGAGUGUGGGAGAGGUGAGUGGAAUUCCCGGUGUAGAGGUGAAAUUCGUAGAUAUCGGGAGGAACACCAGUGGCGAAGGCGGCUUACUGGACAGGUCCUGACACUGAGACGCGAAAGCGUGGGUAGCAAACAGG
rnacentral:rRNA from 1 species